GAUGAACGCUGGCGGCGUGCCUAAUACAUGCAAGUCGAGCGAACAGACGAGGAGCUUGCUCCUUCGACGUUAGCGGCGGACGGGUGAGUAACACGUAGGUAACCUACCUAUAAGACUGGGAUAACUUCGGGAAACCGGAGCUAAUACCGGAUAAUAUUUCGAACCGCAUGGUUCGAUAGUGAAAGAUGGCUUUGCUAUCACUUAUAGAUGGACCUGCGCCGUAUUAGCUAGUUGGUAAGGUAACGGCUUACCAAGGCAACGAUCCGUAGCCGACCUGAGAGGAUGAUCAGCCACACUGGAACUGAGACACGGUCCAGACUCCUACGGGAGGCAGCAGUAGGGAAUCUUGCGCAAUGGGCGAAAGCCUGACGGAGCAACGCCGCGUGAGUGAUGAAGGUCUUCGGAUCGUAAAACUCUGUUAGUAGGGAAGAACAAACGUGUAAGUAACUGUGCACGUCUUGACGGUACCUAAACAGAAAGCCACGGCUAACUACGUG
rnacentral:rRNA from 1 species